GAAUUCUAUAUAUUUUGGAAACCAGAAUUCGUCACGGAUAAUUUAAAAAAUGCACGAAGUUUUUACAUAACAAACGAGGAUUACCCGAAUUGUCUUACUGAUAAUAGAUUAAAUUGGCGAUCAGUCUUAACAAUUAAAAAGAUCUUGGAGUUCACAACAAAUAUCGUUGACGAAUUUAUAAGGGAACAUAUAUAUAUAUA